rnacentral:rRNA from 1 species
UACGUAGGGUGCAAGCGUUUAAUCGGAAUUACUGGGCGUAAAGCGUGCGCAGGCGGUUUUGUAAGUCUGUCGUGAAAUCCCCGGGCUCAACCUGGGAAUUGCGAUGGAGACUGCAAGGCUAGAAUCUGGCAGAGGGGGGUAGAAUUCCACGUGUAGCAGUGAAAUGCGUAGAGAUGUGGAGGAACACCGAUGGCGAAGGCAGCCCCCCUGGGUCAAGAUUGACGCUCAUGCACGAAAGCGUGGGGAGCAAACAGG